GUUUCUGUAGUGUAGAGGUUAUCACAUUUGCCUUACAUACAAAAGGUCCCCAGUUCGAAACUGGGCAGAAACA